AUGCUCUUUUUGGCAACACGUGUACUAAUAUUGUAACAUUACAGAGAUUAGCAUGGCUCCCGAACAAAGAUGACGUGCAAAUUCAUGAAACAAUGACAUUUCUG